CUUGACCUGCUACACACUUGACUAUAUUCUGCUGUGUAGAAGUGGCCUGAGGUUCUUGAUUAUAGUUGGUUUGAGUUUAAGAACAGAUACAGAUUCAGCAAUGGAGUUACACAAAGUGUUAAAGUAAUCCAGAUACUUUCCUUCAUUCUUGGAUCCCAUCAUAUCCUCUGCUGCUGUGAAGCCCCAGGAAAGAAGUGCAAGGAGCAGGACUGUCGGAACCUUGGCUGCUCUGAUAGCUGCAAACAGCAGGAGGGAGGCAUAUGUCAGUCUGAAGGAACUGUACUCCAGUCAGAUUUCCCGUUCUAUUCCCAACCACCUCUGCUAAUACCUGGUGCGGAAAUGCAUUUCAAAUAUAGUCGGCACUUGACAGACAGAAAUGAUAAUCUCUGAUGGGAACUCUAACCGACCAUAAUAGAGCUUAUGUAAGUAAUGUUCUGGGAGUAGGAGAAAUAAACACAGCAGGAGGGAAAAAAAGAGAAGAAAACAGAUGGCAAUAUUACAGGGAUUCUCACUUAAAGCAUGCUUUUGUAAGGUGAGACACACGGCUGAAAGAACAGAAUUUUUUAUCUCAUUGUGGAAAUCAGUUAUUCAAAUAAAUGUGUGCAUUGGGAGAUUUGUUGGUAACUGUGCCAUUAUAUUCAGGCAGGCUCUCCUGUUUGAACACAAUGCUAUUUAAACAGAUUUUGUGAACCUGACUUCACACCAUCUCUCAUUCAUGUAUCACCACUGUACUCACUGACCUACAAUUGGCUGCUAGUUCAGAAAAGCCUUGAUUUUUAACAUUUUUGAUCUUAUUUUAAAUGGCCUUAACCCUCCCUAGCUUUAUAACCUCCUCCAGUCCUACAACCCUCUCAGAUAUCUGCACGCCUCCAAUUCUGGCCCCUUGGUAUCCUUGAUUUGUAUCAUCUACUUUUGGUCAUCAUACCUUCAACUGCCUUGUUCCUAAAUUCUGGAAUUCUCCCUGAAAAUAUCUCCACCUCUCUCUUCUCUUAAGAUGCUGCCAAAAACUUACCCCUUUA